rnacentral:rRNA from 1 species
UACGUAGGUGGCGAGCGUUGUCCGGAUUUACUGGGCGUAAAGAGCGCGCAGGCGGUCGUAUAAGUCGCGUGUGAAAGCCCCCGGCUCAACUGGGGAGGGUCACGCGAUACUGUUCGACUCGAAGGCAGGAGAGGGAAGUGGAAUUCCCGGUGUAGUGGUGAAAUGCGUAGAUAUCGGGAGGAACACCAGUGGCGAAGGCGACUUCCCUGGCCUGUUCUUGACGCUGAGGCGCGAAAGCUAGGGUAGCAAACGGG